UGGAACUCUUUUAUGGAAGAGUUGGAGGAA
rnacentral:piRNA from 1 species